GGGUCGCAGUAACCUGGCCGCUGCGACUGUUUAUCAAAAACACAGCACUCUGCAAACACGAAAGUGGACGUAUAGGGUGUGACGCCUGCCCGGUGCUGGAAGGUUAAUUGAUGGGGUCAGCCGCAAGGCGAAGCUCUUGAUCGAAGCCCCAGUAAACGGCGGCCGUAACUAUAACGGUCCUAAGGUAGCGAAAUUCCUUGUCGGGUAAGUUCCGACCUGCACGAAUGGCGUAACGACAGCGGCGCUGUCUCCACCCGAGACUCAGUGAAAUUGAAUUCGCUGUGAAGAUGCAGCGUUCCCGCGGCAAGACGGAAAGACCCCGUGAACCUUUACUAUAGCUUUACACUGAACGUUGAGUUCUUCUGUGUAGGAUAGGUGGGAGGCUUUGAAGUGCAGACGCCAGUUUGCAUGGAGCCAUCCUUGAAAUACCACCCUGAAGUGCUUGACGUUCUAACCUCGGCCCGUAAUCCGGGUCAGGGACCGUGUAUGGUGGGUAGUUUGACUGGGGCGGUCUCCUCCCAAAGAGUAACGGAGGAGCACGAAGGUACGCUCAGCGCGGUCGGACAUCGCGCACUGUGUGCAAAGGCAUAAGCGUGCUUGACUGCGAGAUCGACGGAUCAAGCAGGUACGAAAGUAGGUCUUAGUGAUCCGGUGGUUCUGUAUGGAAGGGCCAUCGCUCAACGGAUAAAAGGUACUCCGGGGAUAACAGGCUGAUACCGCCCAAGAGUUCAUAUCGACGGCGGUGUUUGGCACCUCGAUGUCGGCUCAUCACAUCCUGGGGCUGUAGCCGGUCCCAAGGGUAUGGCUGUUCGCCAUUUAAAGUGGUACGCGAGCUGGGUUCAGAACGUCGUGAGACAGUUCGGUCCCUAUCUGUCGUGGGCGUUGGAGAUUUGAGGGGGGCUGCUCCUAGUACGAGAGGACCGGAGUGGACGUUCCGCUGGUGUUCGGGUUGUCUCGCCAGAGGCAUUGCCCGGUAGCUAUGAACGGAAGUGAUAACCGCUGAAAGCAUCUAAGCGGGAAGCACGCCCCAAGAUGAGAUCUCCCGAGAGCUUGACUCUCCUUAAGGCACCAUCAAGACCAGGUGGUUGAUAGGUCAGGUGUGGAAGCGCAGCAAUGCGUU
rnacentral:rRNA from 1 species